rnacentral:rRNA from 1 species
GAGUUUGAUCNUGGCUCAGGAUGAACGCUGGCGGCGUGCUUAAUACAUGCAAGUCGAACGCAAAACCUUCGGGUUNUGAGUGGCGGACGGGUGAGUAACACGUGGGUAACCUGCCCAUCAGCCUGGGAUAACCACCGGAAACGGUGGCUAAUACCGGAUAUGUCUUNGGAUGAAAGUCGGAUUUAUCUGACANUGANGGAUGGACCUGCGGCGCAUUAGCUAGUUGGUGAGAUAGUGGCUCACCAAGGCGACGAUGNGUAGCCGACCUGAGAGGGUGAUCGGCCACACUGGGANUGAGACACGGCCCAGACUCCUACGGGACGCAGCAGA